ACGAACGCUGGCGGCAUGCCUAACACAUGCAAGUCGAACGAGACCUUCGGGUCUAGUGGCGCACGGGUGCGUAACGCGUGGGAAUCUGCCCUUGGGUUCGGGAUAACAGUUGGAAACGACUGCUAAUACCGGAUGAUGACUUCGGUCCAAAGAUUUAUCGCCCAGGGAUGAGCCCGCGUAGGAUUAGCUUGUUGGUGAGGUAAGAGCUCACCAAGGCGACGAUCAGUAGCUGGUCUGAGAGGAUGAUCAGCAUCACUGGGACUGAGACACGGCCCAGACUCCUACGGGAGGCAGCAGUGGGGAAUAUUGGACAAUGGGCGCAAGCCUGAUCCAGCCAUGCCGCGUGGAUGAUGAAGGCCUUAGGGUUGUAAAGUCCUUUUAACGGGGAAGAUAAUGACGGUACCCGUAGAAUAAGCCCCGGCUAACUUCGU
rnacentral:rRNA from 1 species